rnacentral:rRNA from 1 species
GACGAACGCUGGCGGCGUGCCUAAUACAUGCAAGUCGAACGCUUCUUUCCUCCCGAGUGCUUGCCCUCAAUUGGAAAGAGGGGUGGCGGACGGGUGAGUAACACGUGGGUAACCUACCCAUCAGAGGGGGAUAACACUUGGAAACAGGUGCUAAUACCGAAUAACAGUUUAUGCCGCAUGGCAUAAGAGUGAAAGGCGCUUUCGGGUGUCGCUGAUGGAUGGACCCGCGGUGCAUUAGCUAGUUGGUGAGGUAACGGCUCACCAAGGCCACGAUGCAUAGCCGACCUGAGAGGGUGAUCGGCCACGCUGGGACUGAGACACGGCCCAGACUCCUACGGGAGGCAGCAGUAGGGAAUCUUCGGCAAUGGACGAAAGUCUGACCGAGCAACGCCGCGUGAGUGAAGAAGGUUUUCGGAUCGUAAAACUCUGUUGUUAGAGAAGAACAAGGACGUUAGUAACUGAACGUCCCCUGACGGUAUCUAACCAGAAAGCCACGGCUAACUACGUG